UACGGAGGAUCCAAGCGUUAUCCGGAUUUAUUGGGUUUAAAGGGUGCGUAGGCGGAAUAGUAAGUCAGUGGUGAAAUCCUGCAGCUUAACUGCGGAACUGCCAUUGAUACUGCUGUUCUUGAGUACAUUUGAUGUGGGCGGAAUGUGUCGUGUAGCGGUGAAAUGCUUAGAUAUGACACAGAACACCGAUUGCGAAGGCAGCUCACAAAACUGUAACUGACGCUGAGGCACGAAAGCGUGGGGAUCAAACAGG
rnacentral:rRNA from 1 species